GAAAAACACUUGUACAAACAGCAUUAGCUCCUUGGCUAGUGCUACCUGCACGCGCGCGGAUUGCGCGUGGCAAAAUGGCCGCGGUUAAAAGGAAAUAAACAUUUGGUGGAAACUGGUAAUGUCGCAUGUGACGAGGACGACCCGAGCGGAUGAGCAAACUGUGAUCUAGCUAGUUUGUUCGCCCCGGCUCGUGUCGUUUUGGAUCACAGUAUCAGCGUGGCGAAAGGCUCCCGAGGACACGUCUCUAUGUGUGAUUGGUUCCAUCACAUCACAUUUAUAGAUUACAGAGUUACAUAAAGACUGACUCGUGAACGAUCAAGGUCGAGACUGGCCACUAUGAACUCUGUACUGCUGAGAGUUCAGACCGUGCCGCGACCAACACGUGCACAGUCUGACAUCCCCUGCCCAGCCACGAGCGAUCGUUCUCCACAAGUAGUCUUCGGUGGUGUCGUGACGUCAUCCCCUGACCAGCGGCACAAAUGAAAUACACAGCGAUAAAUUAUAUUUUAUUACGCUCGACUCGAACUCGGCAGGAGUUCGUUAGAUUUAAUUACAAUAAUUGCUCUCUGACGUAACAUAGGAUUACAGGCUGGACGACAGGCGGAAUGAGAGGAGCGGAGGAAAACAACAUAUACGUAUGUAACUAGCGAGGAAAAUAAUAAUAAUAGUAAUCAUCAUAUAUAUAUAUUAUAUUUUGGACAGUGUCUGGUGCUUAUAUUAUAUUAUAUAAUAUUUUGCCAUCAAUUUAAUUUAAUAUCUACACAUUUGUUCAAUGAUUGUAUAAGAAUAUACGAUUCAUUUAAAAGGAAUUCUUUUAUUAUAUAUCACUCAUGUAACAAGCUACGUUCGGAUCCUCACGUCCUAACAUAUCCAUAUAACUAUGUUUAAUAUCAUUUAUAGUUAGCUUUACGUGGAGACCGUUUCCAGACAUCGCCCACAACCCUAGAGGAAUAAAACACCUUAAUACGUCGUAACAUUAACCGCAGCCGGCUGCAGGAGCUCCUGGAUCCGGCUGUAUAGGAUAUAGUCUGAUACAUGUAUGAAAAUAUUAACCGAAGCCGAUGUCAUCGUGAAGAGCUGUUACUGAACGAGCAAAGCUGUCACUGUCAAAUGAUAUGCAACAGCUCGUCUCGUAACCGCAAACUGCUCGCCCGCGGUUACUCGUGCGAUGUUCAGAGACAGUCUACGAGUCAGAGGUGUCGGAGGGUACGUUCCUUGUAACAUGUCUGUACGAGGUUUGCUUCCGUGUUUGUGUACCCGAGGCUCGCGCCUCACGUCAGUGUUGCCAGUCAAUAUCAAUAUGAUGUAAUUAAUUAAUUCUAGUGAUUGUAUAUAUCUAAGCGAUAACGGUUUUUUGCUAUUUUCGUCCUAUUAAAUAUAUUGGCAACAUUAUUUUAUUCGCAUCAAACAUGAAUGGCGUCGCCGUUUCUAUUCUCUGUCCGUACAUCAGUUUUUAAACUAAACAAUUCACCUUAGUAACUACAGUGAAUAUACUUAAAGCGGGCUCUCAACCGGUGCUUAGAGAUAUCGUUGUGGAGAUCCGUCCCAACACUAGCACUAACAUUAUCUAUAUAUUUACCUCCUAACAUCACGCCGCCGUGAAGCGGUCUGGUAAUCUCGCGGCCACACAAUGACCGCGACCGACGCAGCGUGUCCAAUUAAUUUUAAUUAUUAAUAUUAGUUCCCGCAGCUACUUCUCUGCGCCGCGUCUCUCUUCAACUUCACAUUUUGCGACAGAUUCACUUUAAGUCAGCACAAGUAUAUUUCUUCUACUCGAGUAGACAUUUUUCCAAGUCAUUCGUUGCAGGCGCCCCGUGCUCCCAUCACACAGAACUUUAUUCCGUUUAAUGCUAUAUAUAAUCAUAAAUAUAUAUCUAUAUAUUCCCUACAUAUAUUUCGGGCUGCACGCUGUGUGCUGCGGCUUAUUUUGCAGAUUUUUAUUUAAUUUUUCUAUCUACCUACCAUAUUUACACGACCCCUACCCCCUAGCACCCCAUCCCCAAAAAUCUUAAGGCUACUAUAUCUAGUAUUCAACAUAUUCCAUAAAAUAUAUUGGAUCAGCACUUCCGUGAUCAUCAUCUGUAACAUCGUCUCCAUCUAGCCGUCGGGUAACCGAUGGCUACUAUAAUAACAAGAUUUGCACAAAAAAAUCACAUAGCGGACACGACUUCGUCGGCUCCUCAGAACCGUUCAAAUAAUAGUGACCCGCGGAAGUCACGAUAUAGUUCAGUACGAUAUAGUUCAUCUUUAGUGAGGAAAACAGGCAUUGAGUGUAGCAUCGCUUCCUCAGGGCUCGCAGCGGCACGCGUCCGGCACACAGGAGGGCGCCGCGGGGGGCGGGGGCAGCGCGGGGGCGCCGCAUCACCGGGACGGACACGAGCUGGACCCGCUCAGGCACGAGAAGCCACUGGUGGCGGACUGCAGGCUCGACAUGGACCCGCUGGGGACACGCCACACGAGAAUGAAACACGACUACAACAAACACUCCAAGUAAAGAUGCACAAGUGCUGCUGUGGAUGUAUCACCGGUAGUGGUGGCUGGCGAGCGUCUCGUGAAAGUACACCAGCUGCGCCCCGUCCGGCCCCCGGGCGCCCUCGCACCGCCAUUGGAGGACGUAGCUGCCUCGCGAUGACAUCACGUGGGAACCCUGGAUGAAGGGGUGGGGGGGAAGUGUUAUUAAGUUCCACCACAUAUAUGGAGGUAAUGUUGGCAGGUUCAGGUGGUACCUGUAUGCUCUCUCCGUCGUGACACAGCAGCGACGUCUCCACGCGGUGGUAGUGUUCACCCUCGCGACCAGCACCCUCCAGGACAGAGCGGCUCUCGUCGCCGGCUGAGGACGGCCACGGGACAUUUGAGAAUAACACAUCAUAACAUUCUAAUAAUCGUUUGGAAACAUAUUAAUAUUAAUGGUUGUCGUCUAUAUCGCUUUGUAUCUUCUGUAAAAUUUUGACAGCAGACGAAAUGUUUGCAGCCGUUUAAUUCACUAAAUUAUGUAACUGUUCUGGGUUAUAUUUCCAGCUGAAGGUGUGUUGUGUAAGGUAUGUGUGUCGUGUGUGUGAAUCUCACCGGCGGGCUGCUCCGGAGGCUGCAGCUCCUUGGUGCUCCUGAACACGCUGAAGUACACUUCGUGCCGUAACACGUCGAAGUC